rnacentral:rRNA from 1 species
GACGAACGCUGGCGGCGUGCUUAACACAUGCAAGUCGAACGGAAAGGCCCGGCUUUUGUGGGGUGCUCGAGUGGCGAACGGGUGAGUAACACGUGAGUAACCUGCCCUUGACUUUGGGGUAACUUCAGGAAACUGGGGCUAAUACCGGAUAGGAUCUCCUGCUGCAUGGUGGGGGUUGGAUGGUUUCGCCGGUUGGUGAUGGACUCGCGGCUUAUCAGAUUGUUGGGUGGGUAGUGGAUGACCAAGGCUUUGACCGGUAGCCGGCCUGAGCGGGGGACCGGACCAAUCGCGCCUGAAAUAAGGCCCAGACCACACCGGGAGGCAGGGGAGGGGAAGAUUGCACAAUGGGCGGAGGCAUGACCCAGCAAAGCAGCGCGCGGGAUGACGGCAUUCGGGUAGUAAACCGCUUCCGCCUGUGACGAAGCGUGAGUGACGGUAAUGGGUAAAGAAGCACCGGCUAACUACGUG